AAUUAUUAUUGAAUCGCGUCUGUUCGCCGGUCAAUGCAGCGGCUAGCCCUGAGGCUACGGUGCACCAUAGAUAUACACUGUGGAGUAUAGUGUUUGUACCCAUGGAUAUUUGUAUAUCUAUGGGUGCACGUUACACACUAGAUCUAUCUGCAGUAAAAGUUUUACUGACGUAUUGGCGAUUCUGCAUUUCAGAUUGGUGAACCAUAUGUCAGUUAUAAACAUUAUGAAAACUUUAUAAAGCGAUUCAUUCUGCCAAAUUUUGACAUUUACGGUCUAAAGGUGGGUUCUCAAUAUCACGCAUGCACGUCCAUCACGACCGGAAGUGCUGCCAUAAACCAAUGGGAGCAUGUGUCACAUUAGAAAACAUUUCUAUUCUGACACAUUGACGCAUGCUCCCAUUGGUUCAUAUAGCACUUCCAGUCGUGACGCUAGAGCAUGAAAAACAAUGUGUCAUAUCAAGAACCCACCUUAAAUGGUAUAAAAUGCCAAAUAUAUUGUCUAACAUUUCUGCUGACUGUAUGGCUUAAUUUGAUCUACAUACUUGUUGGGUUAACAUGUCAGUUGCUAUGUAAAUAGUUCUGUUUAUUUUUACAUGUUUCUUUUGAACUUGACAAUUUC